CAAGAGUUUUGAAGGUUACAUCUGGAAAGCAAAUUCAUCCAACUUCCUUCAAAAUUCCGUGAAUGAAGCAAGAUGAUAAAACUUUCAUUCAUACAGUCCCAUGGCAGAUGCUAAUUUUCAAACCUCCUGGUAGUUUCCAGGUUUUGACUCGCCUUUUAUCGCUUGUUGAAGAAGAACUGUACCCACAACAUCUAAUAGGUUUGAGGCAGAAAAUGUCUGACUAUGACAGGGUUCAGAAAUAUGAAUAAGGAGACAAAUUUCUUGUGCGUCCAAUAAUAUUUGGCCCAUAAAGAAUUCUAUUCUAUGAAGUAUAGAAGAAUAUACUGUGGAGACUGCAGAUAAUCUAAUUAAUGAGAACUAGAAGCUGAGAAGAAAUGGAAAACAAUCAAGGGGUCGAAGUAGCUUUCCUUGUCGUCCCUCCACCCCCACCUUCUCUCUCUGCAGGUGUAAAGAAAAAAAGAAUUCAGUUCAUUGAUUAAAUUUCCUGUAGAGACUUAUGGAGAUGGUCUUGAGGGGAAUAUUCAGCAGCCAUCUCUCGCACCCAGAAAAAAAAGACAGAAGCAAUCCUUAAAAUAUGGCAAAAAAGGUGAAUUGAGUUUCGGAUUGUGGUAUCCAAUUUGCUGCAAGCUUUUCUCAUCGCUGAAGUUUAGAUGAAAGGCCAGGACAAGUGGAAGGGCAUCUCUAUCUUACUUUAUCUCACUCCAUUCCUCAUCUGAUAAAUGAAUGCCUACUGGAGUACGAGCAGGCUCGGAGAGCAGCAAAAAGAAAGAGCAAUAUCCUCACUUUUUUCUGGAAGACCUGCAACUCAAGCGAAGAGCUUUUUCUGUAAGUGGGUAAGGGCAGCAUGUUGAGGAAGCAGGACAAUUUAUUCUGAUGCCUAUACAACAAACUAAGGACUAUUAUUCUCUGGCGUCUGCAAAGCCCUUACAAAUAGGCUUACAAAUAUCGGCGCAAACAUGGGAGACACUGUUAUCUUGUAAGGCAAAAUAUCAAAGAUCUACAGUACCAUCUGUAGUGCGCAACUGAUGCUGAUUUAAACAAAAGAGAUUGAAGCAUGCACUUUGAUUGAUUGUGCCACCGAUAUCUCAUAGUAGCUAAGAGCAGGAGUUUUACAUUGAAAAACAAAACCUUUCUGCUGAUAUCAACGUACUGACUCUCAAGCGAGCUACUCUCUCAGCCAUAGUCUCCUCCAUAGAAACUGCUACAUAUGACUGAUUUGGACAGACAGUUCCUCCAGCCCCAAAAGUUACAGAACUGCCCCCCAGAACUUAUUGAAUUGGCCAAGUUGCCCAAAGUUCGGACUUCAAAUUGGAGGGACACGUUCCUCCUCUUAGCUAAAGACUGUGUGUGAGAUAAUAGAUGGGAAAGGCCAGCAGCAUAUGUUCCACUAGGCAAAAGUGCACCUCUUUUGUUCGGCUGAACUGUGAUGCUCCUGAUAAAUGAAACGGGGCACAGAAGAGAGGGAGUCUAAUUUAUUAGUUAUGAAUAGGGAGAAGGGGAGGAGGUGCAGGGGGAGGGAAAAAACAUGGUCAACUUUAGUUUUCAGUCACAUUAGCAGAAGUUAUAGGUGGAACCACUACUUCUAAGAAGUAUCAUCUCCUUACCAAAAAGAUUUGCUAGAAUGUUUGUGGCCGAGGACCUAAGGUACUUGCUACAGGGAUGUGAGGUCAGAGGUCAGCUCAAUCCUGCAAUAUAAUAAACGCAGCAAACCUGGGUCACAUCAAAAUGGCAGCAAUGCCAGGCAAUGCCAACAGGAGAGGGGGGGAAGAAGAAGGCCAGGAAGGGUCAGGAUGCACACACAGGCACAUGGCAUGAAGAACCAAAGGCUCGAAAGGGCGGAUGGCAUGGCUUUCCUCAGCUGAUUCAGUGUAGCUCCUUACCUGAGGGCAAGCCUGCCCAAAGAAACCACAACAAAGGAGGAGGGUUUGGAAUAGCCUGAAAUGGAAAAAUGCUGAUGCCACCACCAGCGCUCCGAGGGAAGGGGGAAAAACAAAAGAAAAAAAAACUGGGAGAAACAAACACAGACAGACAGACAAGGUCACUGUGACAAGAAACAGAGAAACCGUUAGAAGAAAUGCAACAGUCUGCCAGACACCCAUUAGCAGAAGAGGUGAGGGGGGGAGGGAGUUUGCAAACAGCUCUGCACAGGCCAAGGCAGCAAGCAUUAAGUAGGGCAGGUAAAUUUGGAAAGUAGAUACAGGACACAGGAAACCGAUAGUCAAUCAUGGUGCAGGUGGAAAAGGUUGUUAACAAACCCUUUCUUUCCUUAGAAAAGAGCUGUCCUAGGGAGUUACUCAGGUUUGUGUCAGGUAAAAGUUCAGUUUUGGUUAUCUUUAAACACUUGUGUAACAAAGGUCAGGGAAUCCCUUUUCAUUAUUAUCCCAAAGGUGCUUUUUUUCAAGAGGCUUUGUUAUGGUUGCAUUUGUCCCUCUGUAUUCGUUUAUUUUAUUCUACAAAGCUGCUCCAAAUGCAACCUAUUCCGAGUGACAUAGGAUUCCUGAGAAUGUGCCUGAUAAAUUAACAUUUACAUUUGAUUUCUUCAGUGUGUAAUUCUUCAGAUGUGUGGGACGCAAACCCUUAACAUUUCCAACCAAGAUGGCAGGUGGAAUAUAUUUGGAGGACACCACAUCAGAGAAGGCUGAUCUGUACAAUUGUCAAAGCAGGCCUGCUUAACACAGUGUCUGGAACUGAUGCAGCUUUGCAUUUAGUUCCAAAGGGCUCAAAGUUCAUCUGCUGGUUGUAUAAUGAGAUGAAGUAUGUAAUUCUAUUAAUAAUCGUAUUUGGUCAGCUGCCUAUGGUACACAACUGGUAUGGCAAGUUCUGGCACACGGAAGCAUGCUGUGCAUGACUGACUGCUAUAGAGCCACAGCAUUACCUGGGUUUAUAGCUAUAGCCUCUAAAGGCCUAUUGAUGCCACUUUUCUCAUAGUGCCCAAUAGAAUCAAAUAAAUAAUCUAAGGCCCAGGAAGACAGUAUCUAGUCAUAACUAGUCAAACUGGAUACAUCAAUAGGCAGAGGAAAUUGAGGAAAUAAAUAUGAGUCAUGCCAUUCAGAAAGCAAAAAUGAACACAUAAUGGGAUAAUUAUCUAGAUCAGGGGUCUCCAACCUUGGCAACUUUAAGA